AUCAUUCUAGCAAGGGCAUUACGCAUAUCAGUGAGGAUUCGUCCGAGAUUGCGUUUUUGCUAGUUGAAAACUAUCAACAGACCG
rnacentral:snRNA from 1 species